AUGAAGCUAGAUAGUAAAGAGUGGAAUGAGGAGCUCAUUAGGAAAAUCUUCCAGCCAUUUGAUGCGGAUGAAAGUUGCAAAAUUCAUGUCUCUAGUUCACCUUCGAAGGACAUAAUUGCUUGGCACUACGAAAGGAAUGGAUUCUUCACUAUAAGAAGUGCGUAUAGACUGGCAGCAACAAUCCAUGGCCAAACUCUGCAGGCCCCGUCCAUCUCAUCGAGGGAGCCAAAAGAUAGGAGUAUUUGGGAAUUGAUCUGCAAAUCGAAGGUACCACCAAAAAUUAGGAUUUUUGGAUGGCGAGUUGCAACCAACACUUCGACCACGAAGAAGAAUAAGUGGAAGAGGUCAUUAGAGUUGGAUGCCACAUGCAUCAUCUGUGGUUGUGGCGAGGAAGAUGUGUUCCAUGCGGCGGUAGCCUAUACCAAAAGCAGAGCACUUAGACAUGAAAUGAGGAAAGUAUGGGAGUUACCACCAGAAAGUUCUUUGAGAUACAUAGGCCCUGACUGGCUGUAACUGCUACUAGGCACAGUUUCGGAUGGCAUGCGGGCAAAGGUGUUAAUGGUACUGUGGAGAGGAUGGUUUCUGCGUGAUGACUGUGUACAUCGUAAGGGAAAGGAAUCAAUUAGCCGAUCCACACAAUUUCCGCCGAGAUACAAGGAAGAGGUGCAGCUAUCCUUUUCACCCCAUGUAUCGGAGGCUGGGAAAGUUGUUUGGCCACUGGCCAAAACCGAACUGCAUCUGGCAGCUCAACCAACCAUGAUGUGGUCUGCCCCGAUACGAGGUACAGUGUAA
rnacentral:rRNA from 1 species